AUCGUUUCUCGGCCUUCAUGGCUAAGUUAAUCAUGUGUAGUAUCUGUUCUUGUCAGAGUAAUAUCUGAUACGCCAUGCAAUGGAUGGCAAGAGUUUCUCCUACUUUUUGGGACAAUCGCUGGAGUGUGGAAUUCAUUCUACCUCCAGCGGCGGGUUGACCUGCAAUUGCACUACUUGCAGGAACGGCCCUCAUAAU